rnacentral:rRNA from 1 species
CCUACGGGAGGCAGCAGUGAGGAAUAUUUGUCAAUGGACGCAAGUCUGAACCAGCCAUGCCGCGUGCAGGAAGACGGCUCUAUGAGGUGUAAACUGCUUUUGUACGAGGGUAAACGCAGAUACGCGGAUCUUUCUGAAAGUAUCUUACGAAUAAGGAUCGGCUAACUCCGUGCCAGCAGCCGCGGUAAUACGGAGGAUUCAAGCGUUAUCCGGAUUUAUUGGGUUUAAAGGGUGCGUAGGCGGUCGGAUAAGUUAGAGGUGAAAUCCCGAGGCUCAACUUCGGAAUUGCCUCUGAUACUGUUCGGCUAGAGAGUAGUUGAGGUAGGCGGAAUGUAUGGUGUAGCGGUGAAAUGCUUAGAGAUCAUACAGAACACCGAUUGCGAAGGCAGCUUACCAAGCUACUUCUGACGUUGAGGCACGAAAGCGUGGGGAGCAAACAGGAUUAGAUACCCUGGUAGUC